AUGACAUUAAUAAAAAAUGCUAUUAUUAGCUCAGAACAACAUUUACCAGGAUGUCAAGACACAGGUACAGCUAUAAUUUUAGGAAAAAAAGAUGAAAAUAUUAUUACCACGUAUGAUCAUAAAUAUUUAAACUUAGGUGUUUAUAAUGCAUAUAAAAAUAACAAUUUUCGUUAUAGCCAAUUAUCACCUAUAGAUAUGUUUAACGAAGUUAAUACAAAAAAUAAUUUACCAUGUCAAAUUGAGAUUUAUAAUAACAUUAAAAAAGAUGAAUAUAUUAAAAACAGUUAUAAAAAUAAUACAGAAAAUGUUAAUAAUAAUACUAAUCAAAUCGAACAUAGUGAUGGAGAUGUAAAACCACCUCAUAUGGAAGGACCAAAAUAUGAAUUAAUUUUUAUUGCUAAAGGAGGUGGAAGUGCCAAUAAAACAUUUUUACUACAACAAACAAAAAGUAUAUUAAAUAAAGAUGUAUUAUAUGAUUUUUUACUUGAUAAAAUUAAAGAAAUAGGUACUUCAGCAUGUCCUCCUUAUCAUCUUGCUAUAGUUAUCGGUGGAUUGUCAGCUGAAAUGAAUUUGAAAACUGUUAAAUUAGCAUCUUGUAGAUAUUUAGACAAUUUAAAAACGAAUGGGAAUAUAUAUGGUCAAGGAUUUCGUGAUAUAGUAAGUGAAAAAAUAUUAUUGGAAAAAGCACAAAGUCUAGGUAUAGGAGCGCAAUUUGGAGGAAAAUAUUUUGUGCAUGACGUUCGUGUAAUACGGUUACCAAGACACUCUGCUUCAUGUCCUAUAGGUAUAGGUGUAUCAUGUUCAGCUGAUAGACAAAUAAAAUGUAUAAUUAAUAAAAAUGGUGUUUUUAUGGAACAAUUAGAACAUAAUCCAAUACAAUUUUUACCAGAAAUAACUUUAAAUGAUUUACCAAACAAAGAUGAAGGAAUUAAAAUUAAUUUAAAUGAUGGUAUGAGUAAUAUAAUAAAAAAAAAUAUCAAAUUACCCAGUUUCGACAUUAUUAUUAUUAACAGGUAG
rnacentral:lncRNA from 1 species